GACGUAGGGCGCGAGCGUUGUCCGGAUUUAUUGGGCGUAAAGAGCUCGUAGGCGGUUUGUCGCGUCGUUCGUGAAAACUCACAGCUUAACUGUGAGCUUGCGGUCGAUACGGGCAGGCUAGAGUUCGGUAGGGGAGACUGGAAUUCCUGGUGUAGCGGUGAAAUGCGCAGAUAUCAGGAGGAACACCGGUGGCGAAGGCGGGUCUCUGGGCCGAUACUGACGCUGAGGAGCGAAAGCGUGGGGAGCAAACGGG
rnacentral:rRNA from 1 species